UCCCUCCCUGUGGCCCUGGAGACAGGUGGGUGAUGUUCGCGCUCCUGCACAGCAUUUCAUCCCUGGAUCCAGCAUAUCCGAUCAUCCCCACCCCGAGAACGAACCCCUAGUGCUUCAGCCCCUGCUGUGCACAGCCCAUGUCACCUUAGCGACCUGAGAGUUUCUCUUGGUGACAUACCAAGGGGUGGGAUUGCUGGGUGAACGGGCAUGGACACACUUUAUUCCAAUAAAUGCCACCCCUCGGCUUUCCAGACCGGCUGUGGGGUUCACAUCCCACAGGCACUAGCCGAGAACGCUCCUCCUCCCACGGCACCCUCGGAAUUAUCCACCUUCUGAUGUUUGCUAUUCCGCUGGGCAUAAGGUGGUAUCACGUUUUCUUUGAUUUUGCAUUUCUCCGCUGCACCCUGGGCAUGAGCAUCUCUUCACGAAGUCAUCACCCAUCUGGGAUUCUGAGUCUGGGAACCACCCGUGCCCUGCAGGAGGCUGUCAUACACCACGGCUAUCCGUCCUUUGUCACGACAGCCAGUCACCUCCAAACCAUUAUUCACACACUAGCCUCUUCCCGACGAUCGUCGCUGCCACAUUCACACUAAAUGCCCAUGCAUCCGUGGACGUGCAUCUCAGCCAAUUCCCUGCAGUGAGCAUUUGCACCUUGUCAUACCUAGUGGAUCUGCCGGCUCCCUCAUUAUGAUGCUUCAGACGGUUUCUGUCAUCCUUGGGCAUUUUGUUCUCUGAGUGAACCUCCCCGUCAGCUUGUCUGGGACCACGAGACACCCACGUGCCUCGCUUCUUGGGACUCUGGCAGCAAGACGGGAAGUGCCCGAUUCGAUUCUCAGCAUUGCUUUGCUCCAGAAGACCUUGGACUUAGUCCAGGUAGGAGGAAUCAAUUUCCUCUGCUGGCUGCAGCUUUGCUGCCAAGCACUUCCUGCGGUGCCGGUGCGGAGCUGGGCCGGGAGCGAGGAGCACCGGACACAGUCUCUUACCUCUGGAACCUUCCUUCCCAUGGUAGACCCCCAGGAGCCCAGUCCAGUUUGGAAGAAAGCACGGAAAGGAGCAAUUAUAGGACUGUGGGUUGCAUCAUUUCGAGGGUACCUGGGCCACAGCCCAGUAGUUCAAGAGGUAGAACUGCCUGUCUUGCAAUAGGUGCCCUGGGCAUUCGCGGGCAGGGCCUGCCUUCCCAUGGCCUGCCUUCCCGGCAGAGCAAACCCGCCCUCCCUAGAGGGGACACUUCACCCCAGGAUUGCCACACGGGACUCCCAGAGGUAAAGCUGAAGAUGGCCAGCAGCCUCACGUUGACCGCGCCGGCCACCAUGCUCGACGUGCAGCAGCAGCCCGCGGAGCUGGCUACCAGUGUUAGUCACCCCCAUGUUCCAGAUGAGGACACGAGAGAAGCAUGACACAGAAGGCUGAAGUCGCUUGUUCAGAAUCACUACAUGGCAAGUAGCAGAGGCAGGAUAUGGACCAAGGACAUUGGCCUC